rnacentral:rRNA from 1 species
CCUACGGGGGACAGCAGUGGGGAAUAUUGGGCAAUGGAGGAAACUCUGACGCAGCAACGCCGCGUGAAUGAUGAAGGACUUCGGAAUGUAAAGUUCUUUUCUCAGGGAAGAAGAAAGUGCCGGUACCUUAGGAAUAAGCCUCGGCUAACUACGUGCCAGCAGCCGCGGUAAUACGUAGGGGGCAAGCGUUAUCCGGACUAACUGGGCGCAAAGGGUGCGUAGGUGGUUUGAUAAGUUGGUAGCGUAACGUCGAGGCUCAACCUCGGCACUACUACCGAAACUGGCGGACUUGAGUGCAGGAGGGGCAAGUGGAAUUCCUAGUGUAGCGGUGGAAUGCGUAGAUAUUAGGAGGAACACCAGUGGCGAAGGCGAGUUGCUGGACUGUAACUGACGCUGAGGCACGAAAGCGUGGGGAGCAAACAGGAUUAGAUACCCGUGUAGUC